UUUAAACUCAAGAUAGACACAAAUUGCUGGAGUAACUCAGCGUGACAGGCAGCAUCUCUGGAGGAAAGGAAUGGGUGCCAUUUCGGGUCGACACUCUUCUUCAAACUCGUCUGGGGAGAAGGGAUUCGAG